UACGUAGGUGGCAAGCGUUAUCCGGAUUUACUGGGUGUAAAGGGCGUGUAGGCGGGAAAGCAAGUCAGAUGUGAAAACCACGGGCUCAACCUGUGGCCUGCAUUUGAAACUGUUUUUCUUGAGUACUGGAGAGGCAGACGGAAUUCCUCGUGUAGCGGUGAAAUGCGUAGAUAUGAGGAGGAACACCAGUGGCGAAGGCGGUCUGCUGGACAGCAACUGACGCUGAGGCGCGAAAGCGUGGGGAGCAAACAGG
rnacentral:rRNA from 1 species